rnacentral:rRNA from 1 species
GACGAACGCUGGCGGCGUGCUUAACACAUGCAAGUCGAACGAUGAAGAAAAGAAUUGAAGCUUCGGCAGAAAUUCAUUUCGGAUUAGUGGCAGACGGGUGAGUAACGCGUGAGCAACCUACCUCUUACAAAGGGAUAGCCUCGGGAAACCGGGAUUAAUACCAUAUAACAUUGCGACGAAGCAUUUCGAUGCAAUCAAAGCUACGGCGGUAAGAGAUAGGCUCGCGUCCCAUUAACCAGAUGGUGAGGUAACGGCUCACCAUAGUAACGAUGGGUAACCGGCCUGAGAGGGUGAACGGUCACACUGGAACUGAGACACGGUCCAGACUCCUACGGGAGGCAGCAGUGGGGAAUAUUGCACAAUGGAGGGAACUCUGAUGCAGCGACGCCGCGUGAGUGAUGAAGGAAUUCGUUUCGUAAAACUCUGUUCUAUGGGAAGAAAAGGACUGUACCAUAGGAGAAAGCUCCGGCUAAAUACGUG